rnacentral:rRNA from 1 species
CUUGCCGGCGACCGGCGCACGGGUGAGUAACACGUAUCCCACCUUCCGUUUACUCGGGGAUAGCCUUUCCAAAGAAAGAUUAAUACCCGAUAGUAUGGUGAGAUUGCAUGAUAACACCAUUAAAGAUUCAUCGGUAAACGAUGGGGAUGCGUUCCAUUAGGUAGUAGGCGGGGUAACGGCCCACCUAGCCUACGAUGGAUAGGGGUUCUGAGAGGAAGGUCCCCCACAUUGGAACUGAGACACGGUCCCAACUCCUACGGGAGGCAGCAGUGAGGAAUAUUGGUCAAUGGGCGAGAGCCUGAACCAGCCAAGUAGCGUGAAGGAUGAAGGUCCCACGGAUUGUAAACUUCUUUUAUAAGGGAAUAAAACGCUCCACGUGUGGAGCCCUGUAUGUACCUUAUGAAUAA